CUCCAAUACAUCGGACGCAUAGUCGCAGAAAGCAAUGUUUUACUUUAAUGUACUUUCCCGUUUAUUUUACAUUUAUGAUGAUGUACAUUAGCGUGAUUGAUAGAUGGAAUGAUGAAAUGAUGCAAUUAACAUUUUUUUUGGUCGUUUUUUAAAUUAUUUAAAUUAAUUUAAAGUUGUCUUCUAACCCUCGGUGUCAUUCAUGUGGUCUGUCAUUUCAAAUAAAAGAUGGGAAGAAGAUUUUGGGAUUUUUAAAUUGUAUUUCUAUGUUAUGUAUUUUUAUGAAUGCAGUGAGAAGAGAAAAUACGAUAAAUAGAGUAGCAAAAAAUAAGCAUGCAGCUCUCAAAAGAAAAGUAAAAAGAGAAAUUUAAUAGUCUACACUGUGCAUGUAUUUAUGUGUUAUUUUUGCUACUAUGAGAUCAAACAAAACUCCUCAAAAACGCUACAAUUCAAGUUCACUACAUAGAAAAAAGGACCAAAAUAAAUAAAGAAAGAAAGAAAUACAGGAAGAAAGGAAGAGGAGGAGCAGAACAUAUGAAAGGACCACAGCCUACUGGAGCAGGGAGGACCGCCGGUUUAAUGACAGAGAUGCCAUCGAGGGGAAAGAUUGGACAUGGCAGCCAAUUACGUACAAAGUUCGCUUUCACUAAACCAAAAACUGUGUGUUUCCUCCACACAACUAUUCUUUAAAGAGACAUUUUGAUCACAGAUGCCAGUGGCUACUCUCGCUGCAUCAAGCUGACAGGAACUCACGUCACGCUGAAAUGUAUUAUGGGUAAUUGGGAUGGCCCACUGUGUACGAUACUGUUUAUGGCAGAUACUGACAUCUGAAAGGAUGUUUUAACGUUUAUCUUUUCUGCUGAUGUGGUCUCACUGUAAGUUGUGUGAUACUUUUGUAGUUGGAAAAAGGGCUGAGCUUCAGGCACCGGAUUUCAGCUUUGGUUUCACUCCUGUGCUUUUGAGUCCCUCCUGUGGACUCUGUAAAUAACUACCAGCUAGGUUCAGCAAUUUACAGUUUGUUUUUUUUGCAUCAUUUCAACUCGCUCAAAGGUAUUUUCAACAUGUAAAAAAAAAUUGCAAAAUAUGGGCAGUGCUUCCCAUUUCCCCCGGCCUUCACGGAGGUCAGACCGGGUUCCCCUCCCCACAUCUCCUCAGCCGCGUAGGCCCCGGCCCGAGCGCCGCUGGUCUACUCUAAACAGAGCGAGCAGGAGGAAGUGGAUGCUUUUGUGUGUGUUUCGGACACAGGGUUAGUAUUUGGAGCGGGGAGUUUGGGAGCGGGGUUGAAAUGUGGCGAGGUUGAGGGGCGCAGCGGGGCUGCGUUGUUGCAGUGUUAAGGGUGCAGUGUAGCAGGGUCGAGGUGUAGCGGGGUUGAGGUGUAGCGGGGUUGAGUUGUAGCGGGGUUGAGGUGUAGCAGGGUUGAGUUGUGACGGGGUUGAGGUGUAGCAGGGUUGAGUUGUGACGGUGUUGAGGUGUCAGGGGGUGGACGGUGUUCCCGGGAUUGACGGUGUAACGGCGUUGAGGUGUAGUGAAGUUGAAGGUGCAGCGGGGGUUGACGGUGUAGCGCGGUCGACGGCCCACCGCGGUCGACGGCCCACCGCGCUUGACGGUGUAUCAGGGAUUGAGGUGGGGGUUUGAGGCGGGACGGAGGGCCGUUGGGCCAUGAGGACGGAGCACACACCCGACAGACAGAAGAGGUCAUAGGUCACGACACACACUGGGCCACCGAGGCCAGAGUGGGUAUGGUCCUAUCAGUGAGUAUCUCGUUGAGCUCUUUUUCCGACGCAAUAGUGGGGGAGUGGUAAACAAAUAAAUCAGUGUUCCUUUCUCUCUCUCUCUUUCACCCUUGUUUGUCAUCGGUCAUAUGUAUGCCAGUUUGUCAACAGUGAUCUGUCACAUGCAAGUAAGUUCCUCAUUCAUCCAUCUCAAUGCACUGCUCCUCUGGGUGCUUGGGCGAGCCAAUGCACGCCUUACCUUGAUUCACUCAAGUGAAAUCCAGAACCAACUGAACUCUGGCCUGUUUUGCCCUGGGGUUCACCGGCCGGUUCACAGUGGUAUUUCUCUGUCGGUGGUGUAGGGCUGUUGGCGAGGGGAGAAUCAAAGGCAAAAUACUCUCCUCACAACGAGAGAAUUUGACUCUGAGCUGCAUGUGAUGUGACGAGCCAACGCGGCAUGUGAUGUCUGUGGCCAGAGAGACUGAGAGACAGUAAGAGAGAGAGAGAGAGGGAGCGCGAGAGAGAGAGAGGCCGACAGCGAUGGACAUUGCCGUGUUCUUUCCUAUUAUUCCACGCAGGGUGCUUUCCAGAGCUCUGAUCACUGUCGAUUCAGUCUUUUUUUUUUUCUUUUGCCUCCUCCAGGACGUACGAUGAUGUGAGCAUGUGUUUUGUGUUUGAGGUCUGCGGUGAGAUCCGGUAAAGCUGAUAUGUCGGUUGCUGUGGACGGGCUGCUUUCGAUUGUGCUGGGCUUAUUGUAUGAACGUGUUGACGCCGUCCAGGUGAUUUCCACGGGGCCGUACGCUGUCUCGCCACGGACUACUCGUACCCUCGUGUUCGUAUCUCGACCUAUUUAACAUCUCUUCCUUCCUCUGUUCCUGUCUAAUGCCUUUCCUCUUCAUCUCCUUGCUGAAUAGUCUGUAGCAACAGAGGCUAAUGCAUCUUCCCACGGCGGAUCUACCAACCCCCUCUCUCUCUUUUCCCUUUCAAUUAUCUUAAUCCUCCCGUGUACCCAAACGCAACGGCUUCUUCUCGAUAUUUUCAGAGGCUGUGCAUCGUCCAUAUUCUGGUUGGUUUACCAUGUUAUGCCCGUUCCUUUGUCUCUAGAUGGAGCUUCUUUCCUCCCUAUAUUCUGUGUUCCGCCCGUGCUCUCUCGAUGUUUCCUACCUUUUUUAAUCCUAAGGAAGCAUGUAGCUAUUCUAAUGGAAUCCAGCCCCCUCCAUCUUUUGUAAUCUUUUAUCUUCUACCUGUCCUGCUUGCCACCGCUCUCUCUCUCUCUCUCUCUCUCUCUCGCGCUCUCUCUCUCUCUCUCUCUCUCUCUCUCUCUCUCCCACUCUCUCUCUCUUUCCCCCCUCGCUCCCUCUCUCUCUAUCUCUCUCUCUGUGGUUAUGAGUGUCUCUCUCUCUCCCGUGCGGAGCAUGGCUGCGUGUGCACGUCUGAGCAGCAGACGGCUAGACGGCAGCCCGCUGAAGCUCCAUGUGCUCUGCCGCGGGUUUCCGACGCAACAAUGCCUGAAACCCUCUCCUCUCGUCUCCCCUUCCUCUCCUCUUCCAUCCCCUCUAUCCUCUUCUCUCUCUUCUCUUCUCUCUCUUCUCUCCCUUUUCCUCGAUUCUCUUCUCAUCCUUCCUCUCCCCACCCUUCUGAUUCUCUCCUCUUCUCUCCCCCUUCUCCCCGAUCCUCUCCUUACCUCCUUCCUCUCCCCUUUGAUUCUGUCCUCCGCUCUCUGCUGUAAUCUGUUUUCCCUUUUCUCUCCUCUCUUCUCCUCUCUUUUCUCAUCUCCUCCUGUUCUAUUCUUUCAUCCGUUUCUCGCCUCUGGUCUGUUCUCCCCUCCUCCCUUCUCUUACUCUGUCCUCUCCCCUCCUUCCUCUCGUCUCCUCGCGUCUCUCCCCCCUUUUUCUUUUUUUUCUCCCUCCAUGCCAUGCUUUCGGUCACUCUCUCUCUCAUCCCGCGGCCAUCUUCCUGAGGCGCUGGAACCGCAUCGAGGGUGGCGAGGCUGUCGACAACCAACCUCCACCGCAGAUAAGUUGCCUUUGGUUUCCCUAUUCCCCAGCUUACCUGUUCCUCUGUCCCCUCCUCCUCCUGCUGCCCUUCGUCCCCUCUCCAUCCCUCCAUCCCCUCUCCCCUGCUCCUGGCUGUACUAGAUCACAGCCGGAUCAUGUUCGCCUCACCCCGUUUUCCCCACGCCAAACUUGCACCCAUAUCAAGUCCCAGGGGAUGCAGAGAAGGGGGUUGACAGAAUUGUCGGGAGUGGCUAUAUUCGAGCGUUAUUUUUUUCCGCUCAGGGCGGCGAAGGAUGUGAUGUCGUCUGAUGGGUCGCAGCGGCAGCGUGGGGCCUCGCUUGAUUAACUACUCGGAACUCCAGAUCUAAAUUGUAACACGUGCUGUGAUUUAUGGGCGUUUGUUUUGGAUGCUUUUUGUUGGACACACAGACACACCUCGCUGCUUUUGGGUUUUCUGCGUGCAGGUUUUUUUUGGGCUUGUGUCCUGAGGUGAUCUGCCACACCUGUCUGCAUUGUUAAUUUCGCUCCAUGCUUCGGACGGGUCUGGGGUUAUUCGGAGGGCGGCAGCUCAAUCAAAAAAGCCACUGCGACAUCUCACAUAACGAUUUGUACGCUGUGAAAUACAACCUUGCACUUUCCUGUCGCUCUGAGUGUACACAGUCUACAGUCAGGAACUGCUUCUCUGUAUGUGCGUAUUCCGCGUGUAUCCUGACUUGACUUGUCUGUAUUUUCGCCUCUCACUGUCGUCCACAUGUGAUUCAGCACGCUGCUGCGGUGCCAAUAGACCGGUCCACUAUGACCAUUCGGCUCAUGAUAGAUGGCCAUCUUAAGCACCUCAUAGACUGUUAUGCCUUACCAGAUCACGUCCUCUGAAGGCCGUUCUUUAAUUCAAUUUCCUGGGUGUAUGCCUGUGGGUACGUGUGAUAAGACGGCACUUUAUCGAUCCGAGACGGGAAACGCGCGGGCGCGCGCGUAUGUGCGCGCCCGCGCGCGCGCGCGCGUGUGUGUGUGUGAUGUCAACGUGCACACGUGCACAAUGCUCUAGCGUGAAAUCAGGGAGGGGAAGGCUUGCCAGCGUCCUACUGUACUGCACCCUACCGUCGCCCCACAGCUGCUGCUGCUGCUGCUCCUGUACCUCUCUCACUCCCUGAGACCCUAACUUGUGACGGUUUGCCUUCAUGUGCACGGGUUGGGUUCUUGGGAGCUGCGAGGGGCGCUCACACAUCUCACCACCGACUGCUGGCUAACCACGCUAGCGCCGCCCGGACGGACGGACGGACGGACGGACGGACGGACGGACGGACGGACGGACGGACGGAACGAACGCUAGCGGGACGGACAGACGCUAGCUCUCUGAGGCACCGCAGGGGCAGAUCCCCACCGCCACUGAACGUG
ensembl:lncRNA